ACGAACGCUGGCGGCGUGCUUAACACAUGCAAGUCGAGCGGUAAGGCCUUUCGGGGUACACGAGCGGCGAACGGGUGAGUAACACGUGGGUGAUCUGCCCUGCACUUCGGGAUAAGCCUGGGAAACUGGGUCUAAUACCGGAUAUGACCUCCUAUCGCAUGGUGGGUGGUGGAAAGAUUUAUCGGUGCAGGAUGGGCCCGCGGCCUAUCAGCUUGUUGGUGGGGUAAUGGCCUACCAAGGCGACGACGGGUAGCCGACCUGAGAGGGUGACCGGCCACACUGGGACUGAGACACGGCCCAGACUCCUACGGGAGGCAGCAGUGGGGAAUAUUGCACAAUGGGCGAAAGCCUGGUGCAGCGACGCCGCGUGAGGGAUGACGGCCUUCGGGUUGUAAACCUCUUUCAGCAGGGACGAAGCGCAAGUGACGGUACCUGCAGAAGAAGCACCGGCUAACUACGUG
rnacentral:rRNA from 1 species